rnacentral:rRNA from 1 species
AUUGAACGCUGGCGGAAUGCUCUACACAUGCAAGUCGAGCGGCAGCGCGGGGCAACCUGGCGGCGAGCGGCGAACGGGUGAGUAAUGCAUCGGAACGUACCCAGUCGUGGGGGAUAACUGUCCGAAAGGACAGCUAAUACCGCAUACGUCCUGAGGGAGAAAGCGGGGGAUCGCAAGACCUCGCGCGAUUGGAGCGGCCGAUGCCGGAUUAGCUAGUUGGUAGGGUAAAGGCCUACCAAGGCGACGAUCCGUAGCUGGUCUGAGAGGACGACCAGCCACACUGGAACUGAGACACGGUCCAGACUCCUACGGGAGGCAGCAGUGGGGAAUUUUGGACAAUGGGGGCAACCCUGAUCCAGCCAUUCCGCGUGAGUGAAGAAGGCCUCGG